rnacentral:rRNA from 1 species
CGUGCAGGUGGUUUGGUAAGUUGGAUGUGAAAUCUCCCGGCUCAACUGGGAGAGGUCGUUCAAAACUGCCAGGCUAGAGGACGGUAGAGGAAAGCGGAAUUCCCGGUGUAGUGGUGAAAUGCGUAGAUAUCGGGAGGAACACCAGUGGCGAAAGCGACUUUCUGGCCCGUUCCUGACACUAAGACGCGAAAGCUAGGGUAGCAAACG